GGGCCACAUCACAUUGAAACACUGGUUCCUGUAUGAUUACAUAAGUUAAGCAAUACUGAACCUGGUCAGUACCUGGAUGGGCAACCACUUGGGAAUGCUAGAUGUUGUA